rnacentral:lncRNA from 1 species
AUUUUGGAUUUGGAGGUUGAUAGGUGAGUUUUAGCAUUGAAAUUGAAAGAUUAAGCUUAAGUGCUGAAUUUUGGGGUUAUUGAUGCCAUUUUAAUGUUUUUGUGUUUAGAUCUUCGGAGUAAGAUGGAUUUGAACCAGAGGAUGUUAUUCCAUCAUAGUACAUUGCUUUUGGGAUCUUUUCUCACCUGAAUUGGAGAUUGGAAGGUGAAAUUUGCAUUGGAAUUGAGCAAAAUUUAAGCUUGUGGGCUGAUUUGCAUAAGAUUGAUAGAAUUUUGAUAUUUUUGGUGUUUAGAGCCUUGGAGAAGUAUUGUUGCUGGUUGUGGGUGAUUUCGGCUGAAGCUCCCAGCAACUUCGUGACCUUCUCGCUGCCGUGGACUGAGCGCUAGAGGUGGGUUAAUCAUCGGAUUCUCCUCCUAAGUGUAUGCGCAGUCGACAUGUAUAUUUUCAGCAUUUGUAUAUCUUGUUUUAGCUCGAAUUCAUCGAAUAGCAUGUUAAAUAAAAUCUGAAUUUGGAGCAUGCUGUAGUGAGUUAGAUAAAUGAUACAUGUUGGACUUGGAAUUGACUUAGGAGAAACCGGCGAUUCUACACUGUCAUAUGUUGAAACUACCGGAUUUAGCUCUAGGAGCCGUAGUUUAUUUGUAUCCCUGCAGUUUGUGGGUGGCGAAUAUCCAGGAUAGUGUAGAAUGUAUUCACGCUUGUGCUGAGAUGCUGAGCUUAUUUUUACAGCAGUGUUUAGACUGUUCCGGACUGUCGGGUGCCAUCGGGGUUGACGGUGGACCUAGAUUACUGUUUUUGCAUCAGAUUGUGCCGAGAGCACGUGAGUUGGAUUCUUAGACCCUGUUUACUUGACUAUAGCCUGUGAGAGCCUGAUUGAGCUCUACAGAGACAUACUUGCAUACUCGGUUGGGUAGCGCCUACGAGUGCCACUCCGGAGUCAGGCUAUGUGCGUUUGUGUUGGUGUCGAUUUGUCAUGGUUGGACUUGCUCUCCACAGACGGUUUAGUGUGAAGGUAGCUGUAUAGCUUCAAAAGGCGGGACGGGUCUAUUCACAGUCCCUGGGACGGGUGUGUUCACAGUCCCUAAUGAGAUUGGGUCAAAGAUCGUAUUAUUCUACAGAUAGUGGUGUCGGAUCAUGAUAGUAUAGUGGCACAUAGUUAUAGAUUAUUUUCAGUUAUUUACUAUCAUUGAGCAUAUCAUCUGUAGACUUAGUGGGUGAGCCGAUGAGUUGAAGGCGGUACCCACUGAGGACUACUUAUUUUUGCAGUAGUUCUCACGCCCAUCUGUUACCCCUCUUUUGCAGAGCCUUCGGUUCCGGCUGCUGCUACUACCGAGACUGAUCGUGUGUAAUGCACUGGACCUUUGCAAAUUGCGAGGUUCGAGUGUUCGAUUUGUGUUCCGAGAUUUUCCACACUUUCUGGAGGGUCGUAGACAGUGUCCGACCUAUGGCUCGCAUCCUGAGAAACAAGGUUUUAAACUUAGCGCUAAGGUCUCCAAAGAGAAGGACUUAGGCUGUUCUCGAGUUGGUUUCUGCUCAGUGUGGUACCGGUACAGCAUUGAGUUUGUACCGGAAUGAGGGGUGGUACCGUUACAACAUCGGGUUUGUACCGGUAUCAGGCGUCAUUUUCUGCCAACCCGAGGCUCGGGUUUGUGUGCACAGUGUUUGGUACCGGUACUCUUUAUCGUGUAUCGGUACGCAGUGCAGACUGCAGUCUGCUUGUUUUUUAGGGGUGUUUUUGAUAUUGUAGCCUUAUUACAUAUAUCCCCCAUGCCCCAUGGAGGUUCUCUGAGCUGAGACCAGAGGAGAGAAAGGUAGGGAAGCCCUCCUCUUUCUCUCUUUGAUUCUCCUUCAUUUUAGUUGGAAUUUUUGAAGUUUAAUCACUUCUUUUGGUCUCUUUUUGCUUCUUGGUGCUUUUGCCUCCAUGGGAGAAGGCUCGGAGCUCAAUUUGAGGCUUGUUGGAGGAGAGAUUUUCAACCUUAGUUGAUUCCUAGCCUUGUUUGGAGCUUUUCUUGAGGUUAGUACCUUGUUUUCCCCUUUUGAUCCAUGUUUUGAUGGAUUUGCUUGAUGAAACCCUAGAAUGUGAGAUUUAGGAUUUAUUUUGGGGAUUUUUGAUUAGAGGCUUUUGGAACUUAAUUGAUAGGUGUAGAAUCUUCAUUUGGGUUGGAUUAGAGGGGUUCUAACUCUCAUCUGGAGAUUGAGAGAGAUUUCCACCGUUCAAGGUGAGUUUUUGCCUUUUUCUCGAGACGGUUAAUGUUUGAACUUAGGGGUGUUCAUUCGACGCGUUUAACUCUCUUAGUUUUACCUUUAGGGAGCUAGGAGUCUAGUGGACAUCUUCUUUUGCGCGAACGAAGGGUUCCAAGGAGCUCUUGGUGGGUUUGGCCUCACCGAAAUGAGAUAAAUUCCACCUAUGAUGGUUUUACUUGUCGUAAAAUGAAACUUCAUGCACAUUCAUGCUAGAUAGAAUAUUUAUGAAUUUUAGAAUACUUAAAAGGCAUAUGUCAUGUAUCAUGAGUUUUGAUCUCUAUGUAGUAGAGGAUUAUGUGCAUAGUACUCAUGUUAGUAUAUGGUAGUCUCAUGAUAUGUUGAAACUAUGUUAUUGGUAGUUAAAUGACAAGCAUUUACUUAUUACGAAUGAUGGACAUAUGCUAGGUAUAGUAGAAAACCCAAUGUCAUAAAGUGGCAUUAGACUUGGAAUAUAUGUAUAUGGACUUGGAAUAUAAUAUGCUUGGACAUAGUAAAACAUAACGUCAUGAAGUGGCAUUAGUCUUAGAGUAUGAUUGGACAUAGUAAGUCAUAAUGUCAUAAAGGGAUAUUGGACUUAAUGAAUGGUUAAACCUUCACAUUGAGGCAUAGAACUAGACCUUGGAUUGCUAGUGAUUAUUACCAUGUCAGAGACAUGAUGACCGGGUUCUUGAGAUGACGACUAUGCUUGCUUCCCAUUUGUGCUCAUUCGUACAUGCUUGUGAGGGUCACUCCCUAUAAGCUGGCACUCCGGAGUUAGCCUACGCGACAUAUGCUCGCUUGUGCGAUAUUGAGAAAUCUACGGGGCCGGAUGGGAUAGACUCAUUCCUAGAGUAGGAAUGUUGGGGCUAUCAUGGGCACUUAGGCGGCACAAGCCGGACUAUGUUGGGUAGGUCCUUAAUUAGAAAUGGAAAUGGACAUUAAAUCAUAAUGUGACAAUUACUAUUAGAUAGUUUAUAGUAGUUGGACAUCUUGAACAUGCUUGUGGCAUAGUAUUGGACAUGUAGUAUUCUUGAUAGUGUUGCUUGUUGCAUUAUAGUAUACUCAUUUGACAUGUUAGAGCAUACUAGCAUAAUCAUGUGAUGUACUCCUUUAUGUUAGGCUAGCUAUUGCAAUUAUGGAACUGCAUGUUAAGUAGUGGCAUAGUAGCUAGCAAGUUUAAAUCAUGUUUAAGAUUCAUGCUAUUUCUUCCAAUUAAAUGUUAGAAUUAUCUACUUUUGCUUUUGGGCCUAGUGGUGCAUUUUGCUAAGGUCAGUAAUUACCCACUGGGAACUAUUAAUUAUAGUUCUCACGCCCACUUGUUCGAUGUUUUCUUACAGAGCCUUCCACCCCGGGAGAGACUCGGGAUCGUAGGAAAGGGAUCGCCUCGAGCUAGUUAGCGAGGGAUUUUGCGAUAGGUGGUUCACCUCUCUUUUAUUUUUUUAUUUUGGAGAGGUUGAGAGACUUGUACCAUUUUGUAGAGACCACCUUUUUUUUGUAUCUAGAGCUAUGUAUGGAUCAAGUGAUGUUCUUACUUUUGGGUUGUUAGUUAUUUGGUUCUUUUACUUAUCCGCUUGUUCUUUAGAAUUUAGUUAUGCUCUUGCUCUGAUAUCUCUAGAUCUUUUAUUUACGUGCUUUCAUACUCUAUUGUCGUUAGACGCC